CUGCCGCGUGUGCGCGCGGCGCUGCGGCGGCGUGGCCGAGCUGCGCGCACACGUCUACACGCACAGAGGUACGGAGACGUUUGUCUGCGAAGUUGGCGGACAUGUGGCGAUAUAAUUGUUUAUAUUGUAAAUGUUUUAUUUGCAAUAAAUAUAUUUUUACACUGAAA